UGGGGAAUAUUGCACAAUGGGCGCAAGCCUGAUGCAGCGACGCCGCGUGAGGGAUGGAGGCCUUCGGGUUGUAAACCUCUUUCGCCAGUGAAGCAGGCCAUCUUCUUUGUGGGGUGGUUGACGGUAGCUGGAUAAGAAGCGCCGGCUAACUACGUGCCAGCAGCCGCGGUAAUACGUAGGGCGCGAGCGUUGUCCGGAAUUAUUGGGCGUAAAGAGCUCGUAGGCGGCUGGUCGCGUCUGUCGUGAAAUCCCCUGGCUUAACUGGGGGCGUGCGGUGGGUACGGGCCGGCUUGAGUGCGGUAGGGGAGACUGGAAUUCCUGGUGUAGCGGUGGAAUGCGCAGAUAUCAGGAGGAACACCGGUGGCGAAGGCGGGUCUCUGGGCCGUUACUGACGCUGAGGAGCGAAAGCGUGGGGAGCGAACAGG
rnacentral:rRNA from 1 species